CCAAGAGUUAGAGCAAAAGCUCCCAAAGUAUGGGAGUAUUUCAGGCCAACUGGUAAAAGAGUUGUCUGUACACUCUGUCAAACUUCACUUGCUUAUUACGCGAGUACAACCACGCACCUAAAAAGGAAUGGAAACACACAGGAGUUCAAGGAGGAGUUUUUUUUUCUUCCCUCCAUGUCACCUCCGGGGCUCCGUAAAGAUGCGCCCACAGAAAAGGAAAAGACAACGAACCAGUACGCCGUCUUCACAACUCAGAGACAAAUUGUAGGCGCUACGAACCGGAGCAAGGACUAACCUCGCCUCAUAACGAGGCUGUGACCUAUUUGCUCGGAGCUAUGUCUGCAAGUCUAGAUUUACAUGAUGCUGACAAUGACGGCAUUGUGUCUGCUUGUAAUUACGAGACAGUAAGCAGAGCUUCAGGUAGAAACAACCAGAUCUUAUAUCGCAGGCGGAAGCUGUGAAGAGUUCAGCUCGGAGUCCAGCGAGAAGAAAGAGGCUGCUGGAAGCGAGACAUUGUGCAUCCUUUUCGCAGCCAGCAGAAGUACAGGGCAACGCACCACAGACGUCUGCAAAACGGACCGAAUUAAGACAGAAUGCCGUCAGUUACCUUUUUUUUUUACCAGUUUACCAUUUGUUGUGUAGGCUGUAUUUGUU